rnacentral:rRNA from 1 species
ACGCCGCGUGAGUGAUGAAGGUUUUCGGAUCGUAAAACUCUGUUGUUAGGGAAGAACAAGUACCGUUCGAAUAGGGCGGUACCUUGACGGUACCUAACCAGAAAGCCACGGCUAACUACGUGCCAGCAGCCGCGGUAAUACGUAGGUGGCAAGCGUUGUCCGGAAUUAUUGGGCGUAAAGCGCGCGCAGGUGGUUCCUUAAGUCUGAUGUGAAAGCCCACGGCUCAACCGUGGAGGGUCAUUGGAAACUGGGGGACUUGAGUGCAGAAGAGGAAAGUGGAAUUCCAAGUGUAGCGGUGAAAUGCGUAGAUAUUUGGAGGAACACCAGUGGCGAAGGCGACUUUCUGGUCUGUAACUGACACUGAGGCGCGAAAGCGUGGGGAGCAAACAGGAUUAGAUACCCUGGUAGUCCACGCCGUAAACGAUGAGUGCUAAGUGUUAGGGGGUUUCCGCCCCUUAGUGCUGCAGCUAACGCAUUAAGCA